rnacentral:rRNA from 1 species
AGUGAACGCUGGCGGUAGGCCUAACACAUGCAAGUCGAACGGCAGCACAGUAAGAGUUUGCUCUUACGGGUGGCGAGUGGCGGACGGGUGAGGAAUACAUCGGAAUCUACUUUUUCGUGGGGGAUAACGUAGGGAAACUUACGCUAAUACCGCAUACGACCUACGGGUGAAAGCAGGGGAUGUUCGGACCUUGCGCGAUUGAAUGAGCCGAUGUCGGAUUAGCUAGUCGGCGGGGUAAAGGCCCACCAAGGCGACGAUCCGUAGCUGGUCUGCGAGGAUGAUCAGCCACACUGGAACUGAGACACGGUCCAGACUCCUACGGGAGGCAGCAGUGGGGAAUAUUGGACAAUGGGCGCAAGCCUGAUCCAGCCAUACCGCGUGGGUGAAGAAGGCCUUCGGGUUGUAAAGCCCUUUUGUUGGGAAAGAAAAGCAGCAGGUUAAUACCCCGCUGUUCUGACGGUACCCAAAGAAUAAGCACCGGCUAACUUCGUG